GCGGGAAUGGCGGAACUGGUAGACGCGCUGGACUUAGGAUCCAGUGGAUUUUCCGUGGGGGUUCGAGUCCCCCUUCCCGCA
rnacentral:tRNA from 1 species